rnacentral:lncRNA from 1 species
AAAGAACAGAAGGCAGUAAUCAGAGAAUUGUGAUCCCAGCUUAAACAAACCCAUUCAGAAAUCAGAGUGGUUAAUUCUAGUUUACAUAAACUGUCAUAUCAGAAUCAACACUUCAAAUAAUGCUAAGGAAGGACAUGCUAUAUACAGAAAUAGUUUGGGAAAAAACAGAGGCAAUUUAAGAUGAAAUACUCCCUUUUUGUUCAACACUCCAAAGUCUAUUCUCAUGAGAUCCCUUGCUCAACUUCUACACUGCUGCAGCUAGUUGUAACUCACUUUCUACUAAGCACCACCUGUGAAUGACAAUCAAGACAAAAACUGCACCAAUAUAAUUGGUGAGUACAAUUCAGAUUCAGAACUGAGAUAAGAACACACUCUCAACAAGAAAUUUGGCUUUAGAGGUAGCCACACAAAGCUCAC